rnacentral:rRNA from 1 species
CUUUAAUGAGAGUUUGAUCUUGGCUCAGGACGAACGCUGGCGGCGUGCCUAAUACAUGCAAGUCGAGCGCAGGAAGCAGGUUAGAUCCCUUCGGGGUGACGAGCUGUGGAAUGAGCGGCGGACGGGUGAGUAACACGUGGGCAACCUACCUGUAAGACUGGGAUAACUCCGGGAAACCGGGGCUAAUACCGGAUGAUCCUUUGACUCACAUGGGUUGGAGGUAAAAGGCGGCUUUUAGCUGUCACUUACAGAUGG